rnacentral:lncRNA from 1 species
CCUUUAUUAUAUAGACUUCAAGAUUCUACUUUGCUUUAUCUGAGAGGUGGCUCUCAUUUUCUAGCUCUAUAUAACCUACAUCAACAAUAGAUCAUAGCCCCUGCGAUUGGAGCAUAGUUUUCAUCUUAAUUUUUCAAAAAUCAUAGUUUUCUCUUCCAAAUAUUGGAAGAGAAGAUUGCACGUGGGUGGCAAGGCCAGCAAGAAAUUACAUAGAGAUAGUAGAGCCAACCAUCGAUGUG